rnacentral:rRNA from 1 species
GAUAAGCGCUGAAAGCAUCUAAGCGCGAAGCCACCCUCAAGAUAAGAUUUCCCACUUUUUAAGGUAAGACCCCAAGAAGACUACUUGGUUGAUAGGCUCAAGGUGUAAGCGCAGUAAUGUGUUUAGCUUAUGAGUACUAAUAGGUCGAGGACUUGACCA